rnacentral:piRNA from 1 species
UAUUCAGAGAGUUAAGAUAGCAG